rnacentral:rRNA from 1 species
UACGAAGGGGGCUAGCGUUGCUCGGAAUUACUGGGCGUAAAGGGCGCGUAGGCGGCACUGUUAGUCAGGCGUGAAAGUCCUGGGCUCAACCUGGGAACUGCGCUUGAUACGGCAGAGCUAGAGGAUGGAAGAGGGUCGCGGAAUUCCCAGUGUAGAGGUGAAAUUCGUAGAUAUCGGGAGGAACACCGGUGGCGAAGGCGGCGACCUGGGUAGAUACUGACGCUGAGGUGCGAAAGCGUGGGGAGCAAACAGGG